GUAAACCCAAGGUUUCCAGGGGAAGGUUCGUCCGCCCUGGGUUAGUCGGGACCUAAGCUGAGGCCGAAAGGCGUAGGUGAUGGACAACAGGUGGAUAUUCCUGUACUACCGAUAACCGUUUGAGAGAAGGGAUGACACAGUAGGAUAAGCUAAGCACACUGUUGGUUAUGUGUGCCCAAGCAUUGAGGCAGUCAAAGUAGG
rnacentral:rRNA from 1 species